rnacentral:rRNA from 1 species
AGUUUGAUCAUGGCUCAGGAUGAACGCUAGCGGCAGGCCUAAUACAUGCAAGUCGAACGGUAGAUUACUUUCGGGUAGUUGAGAGUGGCGAACGGGUGCGUAACGCGUAUGCAACCUACCCUAUACAGGGGGAUAGCCCGGAGAAAUCUGGAUUAAUACCCCAUGGCAUCAUUGAGCCGCAUGGUUUAAUGAUUAAAGAUUCAUCGGUAUAGGAUGGGCAUGCGUCUGAUUAGCUAGUUGGCGGUGUAACGGACCACCAAGGCUACGAUCAGUAGGGGUUCUGAGAGGAAGGUCCCCCACACUGGCACUGAGAUACGGGCCAGACUCCUACGGGAGGCAGCAGUAGGGAAUAUUGGGCAAUGGACGAGAGUCUGACCCAGCCAUGCCGCGUGCAGGAAGACGGCGUUCUGCGUUGUAAACUGCUUUUAUCUGGGAAGAAAAUGCCUGCGGGGGAAAUUGCCGGUACCAGAUGAAUAAGCACCGGCUAACUCCGUGCCAGCAGCCGCGGUAAUACGGAGGGUGCAAGCGUUGUCCGGAUUUAUUGGGUUUAAAGGGUGCGUAGGCGGCUAUUUAAGUCAGUGGUGAAAGACUCCGGCUCAACCGGAGCAGUGCCAUUGAUACUGGAUAGCUUGAGUAUUGGAGGGGUACAUGGAAUUGAUGGUGUAGCGGUGAAAUGCAUAGAUACCAUCAGGAACACCGAUAGCGAAGGCAUGUACUGGCCAAUAACUGACG